rnacentral:rRNA from 1 species
GAUGAACGCUGGCGGCGUGCCUAAUACAUGCAAGUCGAGCGAACAGACGAGGAGCUUGCUCCUCUGACGUUAGCGGCGGACGGGUGAGUAACACGUGGAUAACCUACCUAUAAGACUGGGAUAACUUCGGGAAACCGGAGCUAAUACCGGAUAAUAUAUUGAACCGCAUGGUUCAAUAGUGACAGACGGUUUUGCUGUCACUUAUAGAUUGAUCCGCGCCGCAUUAGCUAGUUGGUAAGGUAACGGCUUACCAAGGCAACGAUGCGUAGCCGACCUGAGAGGGUGAUCGGCCACACUGGAACUGAGACACGGUCCAGACUCCUACGGGAGGCAGCAGUAGGGAAUCUUCCGCAAUGGGCGAAAGCCUGACGGAGCAACGCCGCGUGAGUGAUGAAGGUCUUCGGAUCGUAAAACUCUGUUAUUAGGGAAGAACAAAUGUGUAAGUAACUAUGCACGUCUUGACGGUACCUAAUCAGAAAGCCACGGCUAACUACGUG